UUUAACAAAUUGUAAAAUUAAAGAUCAAUAAAGAGAUAAUUUUAGAGCAAAAUGUUAAUUUAAUUGAAAUUUUGGAACACAUGUGUUGAGCCGUUUACAGUGGAUCAACAGUGGAAUAAUUGGAAUUAUUAUUCAUUAGGCGGUUAUCCUGAAAGAUAAAUAUCCCCUACAAUGGAGAUCAAGACUGAACCAACUUCGUCAUCUGCAAGUGGAACCAAGCAUUCCGUAGUAGGAGAUCAAACAUAAAUUGAAGUCAUCAUAAUAAAUUGGUGGACAGAAAUUUUCACGAUGAAGCAAACACUUUCGCAUCCACAACACACUCGGUGGUCGUCAAUCAUACACAGGUAGAAUAAACAUAUACCAUUAAACCGAGGGCACUCUGCACCCAACCUUUAAUCCUAGUUCCACAUUCAGAACCUAACAGACAAUUAUCGACACGUGACCCAAACCUGACGGACAAAAUGGCUAUCCAUAACAGUUUUUUGCUUGAUACACAUGAACGCAUAAUCAGUUUAAAUCCGGUCGUGCUGACGUUUUAUCCUGAUAUCCACAAACUUGUGAGGGAAUUCCAAGAACCGACGGUGAUGACUCUGAAAAAUUGAAACAAAUUAUAAAAAUGUUUCAACGAACAAUAAUUGGAUGUACAACAAGUAUUUCAAUGGAAAGUUUUUAAAGGAAUAUACCCCAAUCCGAACCGUAUCACAAAUCACCACCUACAAGGCCUAAAAUUUCACAAAAUUUUACAAAUUUCGACGAUUAUUACGGCCAAAUGAUGACACAAUAAAACAUUUCAACAUUCGGAAGAAAUACUUAAACGAGUGAAAGAAAAUGGUUCGACAGCAGACC